rnacentral:rRNA from 1 species
AUACGGAGGGAGCGAGCGUUAAUCGGAAUUACUGGGCGUAAAGCGCGCGUAGGCGGCUUUGUAAGUCGGAUGUGAAAGCCCCGGGCUCAACCUGGGAAUUGCAUUCGAUACUGCAGAGCUAGAGUAUGGUAGAGGGAAGUGGAAUUUCCGGUGUAGCGGUGAAAUGCGUAGAUAUCGGAAGGAACACCAGUGGCGAAGGCGACUUCCUGGGCCAAUACUGACGCUGAGGUGCGAAAGCGUGGGGAGCAAACAGGAUUAGAUACCCCGGUAGUCC